GUUUCCCCUUCACGACCAAUAGAGGAGGAGAAUAGAUUAUUCACAAAAGAAGAAAUCCACAGGACAAAUCCCAUACAAAUGGGAAAAUGACUGUUCAGUCUCUGUAGGAAAUGAAGGGAUGGCAAUUAAACAACAAGAGGUCAUACUGCUCCUCAAGUAUGAUGGUAAUUUCUUUACUAUAAAGAAAUUACAGAAUAUAAUCAUUGCAGUAUUUACUAUGGUUAAUGCUUGCUAUGUGAGUGUAAUUGAAAAGGUAUCGUGAGUCCUAAAUGAUAUGUGUGGGACAUAUGUAAGGAAGACAUCUCAAGAUAUGCAAAGGGAACAGAAUGUCCGGGUCAGAUAGAGUAGGGCAUGUGAACCGCAACAAAGGUAGUAGUCACAUGCAUAGCAGAAUAGGGCAUGUGUGUUAGCAGCAACAGUUGCAAGCAUAUCCACAACUAAUUAAUCACUUAGCUAGGCAGAAAUAGCUAAGGCAGAACCUGUCAGACUAACAAGCAGUAGGUGUCAAAGCACGAAUUUCCUAUACUAGAUACAUCAACCCAGGAAAACAGUCACCUCUGCACAUCUUGGAUCCUGCUGCACAGGGUAACGUUUAUUGUAACGUUUUCCUUAUAACUUUUUCUCUUACACUUCUUUGAGUCUCAAUAAAUACUGUUGGAAUCUGGAGUAGGGCCACACUGUCAGGGGUUUUUUCCAAAGUGAACUCCCACCUGGUUUGAAUGCCCUUAGGGAAAACUAUACUUAAGAUACACAAAUUUAAAACAAAGUGAGAAAGUACCUGGAGAAGGCAUACAUUAACUCAGGCCAAGUAAUGAGACUGAGAUAAUGCAGCCUCUCUCUGGCUUCUUCAGAAGGAUUUUACUGAUUUCCAACAAAGGUGCAUUUGCAAAAGAUAGGGUAGUUAACAGCCCAUGGUGUGUUUAAAUAAAGGGGAAGGCAGGAGCUAGUUCUAUUCCUGCAGGGGAAGUAAGCCAGGUUUCCUAACCUAACUACAUAUUCAGAGUGUAAUCCCUCUCAUCUGUUCACUCUCAAAGGCAGAGGCCUAGUUCAGCCUGUCGGGUGCCUCUGGGUUCUUUUCAUCUUCAGUUUUUGACGAGCCCCCAGGGAUUGUCCGUCUCUGAGCUACUCCCCUGGAUACCCCAGGAUUGAGGCAAGGUGCCCCACUGAGAAGUCAACCUAUCCACCUCCCAACACCAACUCCCACAGCACGUGGGCCCCCAGGAUCCCUGGGUUGCAGUACUUCCAAGUAGUCAGGUCUUCACUCUGCCUCGUUCCCAAGAAUCUAGAAGCUACACCUUGCCUCAAGUCUACCAUAUGGCAAGCCUGGGCCCUUUUCAUGUCUCUAUCUCCAGGGUCUAGCACACUGACUGGCAUAUAGGUUCAGCAAAUAUGAUCAUAAGUGAGUGAUGGCAUAAAUGAAUUAAUGGUUUCCUGUACUACUUGCUACAGUCAUCUCUAAUUCCUCCCUUAGGAAGUCACUCCCAAUAUCUCGGAAGACCUAUGGAAAUCCAUCCCUUUAAAAAGUUAUCUGCAAAUGCCUGGGAAUUUAGCAGAUGGACUGGAAGGCACCAGGAGACCAGGUGGCUGAGAAGUCCUUCCAAAUGGGAGCUGGCAGAGCCAAGCCCUGAGCUCUGCCCAUCGUCCAGUUCUGGCCAGAGGCCCUGGGCAGGCAGGGCCUGAAAGGCAAGGAGAGGCCUGUUUAACCCGAUGGAGGGGAGUGAAUGCCUACAGCAGAGAUGGCGCGGCAUGCGGGUCUUUGCCCUGCCCUUGCCUGUGACAAAUAUGGCCAAUCAGCCCAUGACAAACAUGACCAAUUGAUUCAUUCACUGUACUUUUCCCAAAGACACCCAAUCACAGCUUCGAAAUCUUUCAUAGCAGAGACCUUUGGGCAGCCACCAGCACCAACAGGACUUGAAAACUCUUUGUCAGCCCUGACAGGGCUCCAGGCUGGGCUUUUGGCUGUGCAGUCAGGACUCCAGGGGGUGGCUCUGUGGAAGGUGCUCACAUACACACACUCAGGCUGUGAGCCUCCUCCAAACACAUACAACCAGUCACUCUGAGAAGUAAGGGAAGCCACCUCUGCCUUUUGACGGUUGCUUCAAUACAAAUUUUGGUUUUUGUUUUUGAGGGUAGGAUUUGAGACAGAGUCUCGCUUUGCUGCCUAGGCUAGAGUGCAGUGGCUCAGAUCAUAGCUCACUAUAGCCUUGAACUCCUAGGUUCAAGCCAUUCUUGUGCCUCAGCCUCCUGAGUAGCUAGGACUAUAGGUGCUCACCACCAUGCCCAGCUCACAUUUUCAUUUUUGUAGAGACGGGGUCUCAGUAUGUUGUCCAGGCUGGUCUCCAGCUCCUGGCCUCAAGAGAUCCUCCUGCCUUGGCCUUCUAAAGUGCUGGCAUUUAUAGGCAUGAGUCACUGCACCUGGCUCAAAGGUUUUUUACAUUUCAAAUCAGUGUAUUCAAAUGUAUGACAAUAUACCUAGCAAUAUGAGUUUUGACCAGAGGCCCCGGCCCCCGCCCCUGCACAUAUAGGCAAGGAUCAUACUGAUUGCCUCACACUCUGGUCCUCUUGCAUUUACAACAGGGAUCAGCUCCUCGUAGGCACUUACUCACUCAACAAUUGUUUGUCGGCCAUUUACCAGGUGCAGAGACUAUUCCAGAUGCUGGGGACAUAAUGGAGAAACACAGAUGUAGUUCCCUGUUCUUACAGAGUUCAGAGUUAAGUGAGCUGCUCCAGGUCCUGGACCUUGCGGCUCAGCUCCUCAGCUGGUGGGAAGCUCUUGCCCACUUUCAUGAAGAGAGCCGCGAUCUUGUUGCUGCGCAGGAAGCCAGCUGCCCACCGCCGAAGCCCAUGUAGGACGCAGGCCUCCACAGCCACUGCAAGGACAUGGUGGUCAGCAGGCCCCACCCUGCCCAUGCUCCCCGAUGCCCAGCAGGGCCUGGAGCAUCAGACAGAGACCACUUGGAGAGCCAGGAUCCCCAGAAUCACAAAAUUCAGGACAGUGGUCAUAAGGAAAAAGUUUUAGCUGGGGCUGGGUUUGAACCCGCCACCUCCAGCAUAUGGGGCCAGAGCCCUCCUCCUUUGAGCCACAGGAGCCGCCCAUCACCACCUCCCUUUUGCUCUGUAUCUGAGGUCCUCAAACCCUGGGCUGCAGACUGGUACCAGUCUGUUGCCUGUUAGGAACCAGGCUGCACAGCAGGUGAGCAACAGUCUGAGGACCAGUCAACCUGCCACCACCCAGAAGGAGCAGUGUUCUACAAACAGGCCUCCCCUCACUACCCAACGUUCCUCAGACAUUCCCUGAUGAGAAGGUCCCCUCAAUGUGUGAUUUUGGAGCAUUCACCUGGGGGCAUCUGGGCAUGAAAGUGCUUCAGGCUAAAAUUACCAGGCAAACGUCCACUGGAGAGGGUGCAGCUGGGAAGAACGCACCUCCCUGCCCCGCCUCUUUCCAUUCCCAGAGAAAUCAACCAGCAUGUUGCAUAUCCCCAGCCCACACCCUGGAGACCAGCCAGCUCUCUCCUGGGUGCUCUGUCCACUGUGUGGAGCUGGACUCCCAUGGCAACAUGCCCCAUCUUCACAGACCCACAGCUCUCACAGGAGAGGAGGAUGCACACAGACCCUCUGGAAGACUGCCCAAACGUGGGAUGGAAGGAGGCGUCUGGGCAGCUGUGGAAAAAUAAGAAAUGAAAUUCCCAGGAGGUUGCUUAAAACACACUGGUAAACAAGAAAAGGGACUAAUCCACUUUCCCCUGACCUUAGAAGGCAAAGCAGCCCAAUAUUGUCUAAAGGUAACUUCAAAUACUGUUCAAAUUCUGUCUCCACCUCUUGCCAGCUGUGUGGCCUUGGGAAAGUCACUACACCUCUGUGUGCUUAAUUUAUGGUAAUUAUCUAUAAAUCCGGACAAUAUGUAUGACUUCCUCUCCCAAGGUGUUAUUUUUUUCUGACAUGAAAUAAAUUAAUGCAUAUAAAGCACAUAACAUAAUGUCUAGGACAUGGCAGAACUUUCUGGAAUUUUCUGUACCUGUCCUGUCCCACAUGGUGUCACUAGCCACUUAUAGCUACAAAACAAUUGAAAUGUGGCUAAUGUGAUGGAGAAAUUGAAUUGAAUUGUAUUUUUAUUUUAUUUUAAUUAUGUUUUUAUUUCAGAAUAUUAUGGGAGUAUAAAAGUUUUGGUUAUAUGCAUUACUUCUGUACAGUUUGAGUUAAGGUUAUAAGUGUGUCCAUCCUACAGCUAGUAAGCACUAUACCUGUUAGGUGUGAAUUUACCUCCACUCCUCCUCCCACCUGCUUGAUUUCCACUGAAUUUCCACGGAAUUUAAUUUUAAUGCCUGAGUGUUGAUCAUUUAGUUCCAAUUUUAAAAUGAGAAAUUGCAUUUUGAAUCCCAUUUAAUUGAAAUGUAAAUAAUCUCUUGUGACUAGUAGCUAACAUAUUAGACAGAGUGGGUCUGGAAUGUAGUAGGUGCCCAAGAAAUGCUAAUUAUUAUUAUUAUCAGGUGUUACCAUUUUUGUUAAAAAGCUCACUGGGUUAGAAAUUAGGAGGCACUAGUUCGUUUCUGAGCAUAUCAAGGACAGAAAGUACAAUGUAUUCAUUUUUGUAUCACAUCAUCUUGCAGGGUGUUAGAGAGUGAAUGUUUGUGUCUCUCCCAAGAGUCAUGUGUUGAAAUUCUAACCCCCAAAGUGAUGGUAUUAGGAGGUGGGCCUUUGGGAAGUAAUUAAGUCAUGAGGGCCGAGCCCUCUUGAAUGGAAUGAUUGCCCUUAUACAAGGCACCCAAUGACCUCUCUUACUCCCUUUCCACCAUGUGAGGAUAUGAUGAGAAGUCAGCACCCUGGCAACUGGAAGACAAUCUGAUUAUGCUUUGGCACCCUGAUCUCAGACUUUAGCCACCAGAACUAUGAGAAAUAUAUUUCUGUUGUUUACACAAAAGCCUCCCAGUCUUAGCACUUUGUUAUGUACUGAGGAAGACACAGGG